CCUACGGGAGGCACCAGUGGGGAAUAUUGCACAAUGGGCGCAAGCCUGAUGCAGCCAUGCCGCGUGUAUGAAGAAGGCCUUCGGGUUGUAAAGUACUUUCAGCAGUGAGGAAGGUGGAUAUGUUAAUAGCAUACUCAUUUGACGUUAGCUGCAGAAGAAGCACCGGCUAACUCCGUGCCAGCAGCCGCGGUAAUACGGAGGGUGCGAGUGUUAAUCGGAAUUACUGGGCGUAAAGCGCAUGCAGGUGGUUAGUUAAGUCAGAUGUGAAAGCCCGGGGCUCAACCUCGGAAUUGCAUUUGAAACUGGCAAACUAGAGUACUGUAGAGGGGGGUAGAAUUUCAGGUGUAGCGGUGAAAUGCGUAGAGAUCUGAAGGAAUACCGGUGGCGAAGGCGGCCCCCUGGACAGAUACUGACACCCAGAUGCGAAAGCGUGGGGAGCAAACAGGAUUAGAUACCCGCGUAGUC
rnacentral:rRNA from 1 species